AACAUAAGGAGAAUUAGUUAAAACUAAAAUGAAAAUAGCAACACAAUGUUCUCAUUUCCAAACAUAAGGUGAAGAAACAGAAAUUAUUAAGCACUUGCAGAAAACACAGCCGAAAAGGUGAAAAACAUAAACAGAGUUGGUGAAAUCCAUGAGAUUGAUGUUGCUUGUCUUAUCGAUUCACUCACAGCAAAUGAGGAACAAGUUAUGAAUAGCAGCUUUCCAUUAACAUUCUCAGAGAUCACAUCAGAAUGUAUCAGUACAAAAGUACAGAUCCUUGCACUUCAUUUGAUGAGUGAGUAGGUACAAGUUUGUUAAGAUUUGUAUAAGAAGAAAAAUAGUCGAAACUAACUGCAUUCGUCAUUUGAUGAGUGAGUCGCGGAACCAAAUCAGAGCCUAGGAACAGUUCUGCAGAUUUAAACUUCACCAGGUGGCUUUAUAGUGAAAAUCAUCUCUUGCAAUGUAUAUCAGACAGUCGUCAUCAAGUGAUCUAAUUGAUUCCCUGCCAGAGAUAAAAGAAGAGAAGAUAAAUAAUGGAAUUACUUGAUUCCUGCAGAGAGAGGGUAGUGGGGUGAGAGAUUACUUGAUAUUGUCCAUAGAUCAAAAUGAAACAACUUGUACUUGUUUUACUAUCAAUAUGCAGAACUGUCUUAUUCUGUAGAUCGGCCUUUUCGAUCAUCUACAGUGAGACCAAUGCUGCAAGUUAGUUUUCUAGAGGAUGAUCAAACUACCAUGGGAGGGGAGAAGAAGUUUUGAAGGAGUGAGGAAGAACAUGUCAUACGUUCAGCAUGGGGUUUUUCCUACACACUGAUUGAGAGGGAGAGAUUUUAGGAAAAGAUACUGAAUUCUGUUAUAUCAAAAGUUGCCCUGUUUCUGUUACAUCUUUGGGUAUUUAUCCUAAACCAAAUUGUUCCCUUAAUUCUAUAUUUCCCCUAGCCAUUACACGUGGCUUGAUUAUUUCAUUUAAACUAUCCGGGCUGCAUGAAACGCAACCGUUUAACUAAUGUUUUAAAUUCUUUACCGCUUCCUUCCCACGCUGUCGUUUUAUGCUUGAUUUGAAUUAAAUCCUUCUUCUUCUGCGCUAGCCCUCAUCUUCUUUGGUUCCAGUCGUGACAAUGCCCCCUCCAUGACCACCACCUUGUCCUCAAGGUGAAACUCAGGAAAUCGGAAGCAGAACUCAUCAACAUUUUUCCAGGUGGCUUCUGUCAAAGGUAUGUCCUUCCAUAUUACUAAAAAUUGAGUAAUCGCUGUAUUGCUUUGUUUAAUCAUUCUUCUCUUGAUGAUUUGUAGAGGCUGCAACAGGGAUCGAUGCUGAGGAUUGGGAAGAUCGGAGUGGAUGGCAUGAUGGCCCACGUGUUUCUUGAGCUGGGAGACGUGGAAGACGGGGUGAACCGCCGAUGUAGCAGGUAACUGUAAUUCAUAUGCUACGGUGCCAAUUUUCUUAAUAACUGUAUAGGGACCAUAAUAUUUGGCUGAUAACUUGUGGGAAACUCUCUUGUGAACGGAGUGUUGUCUGUAAGGUUGUAGUUUGACAUACACUGAAUCCCCCACCGAAAAACUUCGUUCGCUUCUUUUCUUGUUGGCUUGUUGGGUCAUUCUGUGUUGAGAUUGUAGGAGAUUACUUCUGAUUUCUUUGAACAUUUCUUCUCGUUGUGUGAGGUAGUGAUCCACAGCCUCAACUGGGGAGUCCUUAUGAGUGUAGGGAAUGUGAAUUGGUGGUACCAUGCCAUAGAGUAUCUCAUAAGGUGUCUUCUUUGUCGAAGUGUGGUAAUUGGUGUUGUACCACCACUCGCAAGCACUCAACCAUUUUCCCCAUAAGGUUGGGGCAUUCCCUGUCAUGCAUCGGAGGUACCCUUCGAUACACUUGUUAACCACCUCUGUCUGGCCAUCUGAUUGGGGAUGAUAGGCGGUGGAGUAGUGCAGAUUGACGCCCUGGUGUUUGAACAAUUCCUUCCAAAAUUGGCUGAGAAAAAUGUUGUCUCUGUCGCUUACUAUGGUGGCUGGCAUUCCAUGGAGUUUGUAGACAUGCUCCAUGAAGACCUUAGCUACAGUGGGGGCAGAGUAGGGGUGGGAGAGAGCCAUGAGAUGGGCAUAUUUGCUAAACCGAUCGACUACUACCAGGAUGACUUCCUUCCCUUCAGAUUUGGGUAGGCCUUCAAUGAAGUCCAUGCUGAUGUCAAUGAAGGGGGCAAUAGGAAUGGGUAGAGGUUGUAGAAGUCCUAGAAGCUUCACAUUCUCGGUCUUGUUUUGUUGGCAAAUGGAGCAUUCGCGGACAUAUUGCCUUACCAAUUUCUGUAACUUUCUCCAGUAGAAUACCUGCCCCAGUCUCUUUGUAGUGACCGUGGCUCCUGAAUGUCCUCCAGCUGCAGAGUCAUGGUAAAAACUGGUGAGCUUAGUUUGUAGUUGUGAGUCUCGACCCACCACUACCUUCCCUUUCCGAAGGAGAGUGUUAUUGACCCAUGCAUAGGCAGGAUGCGAGUUGGCAUCUUUUCUCACUUCCUUAAUGACUCUCUGUAAGUUUGGAUCAGCUGCCCAGGUCUGUCUGAUUUCCUCCAUGAUAUUGGUGGAGAUUGAGGAUAGGGUUAAGGCACUCAAUUCUGUGCUUGAGAUCCUGGAAAGAGCAUCUGCUGCCAAGUUGUCUUUGCCCUUCCUGUACUCUAUAUCAUAAUCAAAGCCUAAGAGUUUAGUUAACCAAACCUGUUGUGCCUCAUGAGUUGCCUUGUGAUCGAGUAGGAAUUUGAGACUUGAGUGGUCGGUUCUGAUUAGGAAGCGUCUUCCUCUUAGGUAAUGCUUCCAUUUAGUGACAGCAUAGACAAUGGCCAAUAGCUCCCGUUCAUAUGCUGAUAGAUUUAGUUGUCGAGGUCCCAGAGCUUUGCUGAUAAAAGCGAGUGGAUGCCCUUCUUGCAUCAAAACUGCUCCCAUACCCACUCCUGAUGCAUCUGUCUCUACGACAAAAGUCUUGUCGAAGUUUGGCAACGCCAGAACAGGGGGAUUAGCCAUGGCGUCCUUUAAUUGAUUGAAGGCCAUAGUGGCCGAACUAGUCCAGUUGAAGGAGCCCUUCUUCAACAGCUGAGUAAGGGGUCUGCAGAGUUCCCCAUACCCUUUCACAAACUUCCUAUAGUAUCCAGUCAACCCCAAAAAUCCCCGCAGUUGUUUGAUAUUAGUAGGAAUAGGCCAAUUCAUCAUUGCUACCACUUUGUUAGGGUCGGUGGCCACUCCUUCUUUGGUGAUAAUGUGGCCCAAAUACUCCAUCUGAUUGCUACCAAAUACACACUUCUCCUUCUUCGCAACCAGCUGGUUGGCACAUAAUAGGUCAAACACAACAGUAAGGUGAUGCAAGUGGUCUGUCCGGCUCUUGCUGUAGAUCAAUAUAUCGUCAAAAAAAAACUAAAAUGAACUUCCUCAAAUGUUGCCUAAAGAUGUCAUUCAUUAAACUCUAGAAGGUUGCUGGGGCAUUAGAGAGCCCAAAGGGCAUGACAAGGAAUUCAAAAUGGCCAUUGUGAGUGUGAAAUGCAGUUUUAUACACAUCUUUAGGGUCCAUUCGAAUCUGAUGGUAGCCUGCCCUUAAGUCAAUUUUAGAGAAAAUGGUUGCUCCUUCCAAUUCUUCUAAUAAUUCAUCAAUAAUAGGGAUGGGAUACUUAUCUUUUACAGUCAGCUUGUUGAGAGCGCGAAAGUCCACACAAAAUCGCCAUGUAUGGUCUUUUUUCUUGACUAGAACUACUGGAGAAGCAAACAGACUGUGGCUUGGUUGAACAAUUCCAGCGUCUAGCAUUUCAGCCACUAGUUUCUCCAAGGUAUCCUUUUGCAACCCUGAGUAUCUGUAUGGCCUUAGGUUGACUGUCAGGUUUUCAUCCUUCAGAGGUAUCCUAUGAUCAUGUCCUCUGGCAGGAGGUAGUUCCACUGGUUCUCUGAAAAUAUGGGAAUAAGUAUCCAAUAGUGCCUGAAUUGGAAACUCCUCUGCAUGUUGGGCAGGAAGGUACCCUUCCUGAUAACUGAGUGUUGUGCCCUCCACCUCCAGCACUCUUAGACUACAAAUAUUCACCUCUGCCAACAGUGUUUUACGUGCAAGUAGUCCACUUAACUCUUCCAGUCGAUGGACUGGGUGAGUAUAGGAUUGUCCCCUUUUAGUGUCACUUCAUUUCCUUCCCACCAAAAAUUCAUCCAUUUGUCUUCGUAAUUUGCUAAUACAUUUCCCAGUAACUUCAACCACUGUAUGCCUAGGACCAUAUCAUAGCUUUGUAAAGGCAUUACAAAAACAUCCGCCUGGAACUGGACGCCUUGCAUUUUCCACUGCAGGUUCUUGCAGAGCUUAGUACAAGACAUGGUACCCCCAUUUGCUGCUUCUACUAGCAUAGGUUUGAUGGGUGUCAGGAGACAAUUCUGUUUACUGGCGAGGUUGGCAUUAAGGAAGUUGUGGGUGCUGCCUGAGUCAAUCAAAAUGAAUAUAGGGCAUUUGUCUAGUUUGCCCCAUACCUUGAUGGUGUGGCACCCCGUGGUGCCCUGCAAUACAUGUAAUGACAGAUGAGGGGUAAGGGCUUCUACAUUCAUGGUUUCAAUGGUUUCCUCCUCUUUAGAGUUUUCUUCUUCGUCUUCGAUGAUGCAUAGUGAGUAUAGCUUUCGGUUUUUGCAUCUAUGUCCUGGUACAAAUUUUUCAUCACACCAAAAGCAUAAUCCCUUGGCUCUACGCUCAUCCAUCUCCCUGGUUCUAAUAGGUCUGGAGGGUCUGGGGUUGGAGUUGACAGUUGCGUUGUUGAAUGGUGGCCUGUUAGGGGUAGGUAGUAAGGCAGGCUGGGGAGAUUUAAACGUAGUGAAGGUGGAGUUGGAAGUUGAACUGCUGGAGGGAGUGGGGUAAGCUGGCUUUUGGUUGUGUUGGUAAGUGUUUGUUUGAGCUGGAAGUUUAGUGUGAUGGGGAGUGUUUCUUCUAUACGUGAGUGUGUUAUCAUGGAGCCUAGCUAGGUUAUAUGCUUGUUUGAGAGAUUUGGGUUCAAACAUUUUUACUAAGUUCUUAAUCUCAGUCUCUAACCCUCCCAAGAAAAAUACUAAGGCUUGCUUUUCAGAUACCUGAGCUCUAUUCCAGAGCAUGUCAAACUCCUUGAUAUAGUCUUCAAGAUUCCCAGCUUGUUUGUGUUCUGUUAACUCCUCCAAGGGGUCCUUUUGUCCUCCAAACCGGCAGCACAGGGCUUCAACAUAAUCUGCCCAAGUCGUGUCCUGUCCUUCCAAGUUUCUGAUGAAGUUCUGGUGCCAAUACAGUGCCAACCCAUCCAAGUAGUAGGAGGCUAGUUUCAAUUUGUCUGGCUCUGCUAUCUCUUCAAGGUCGAAAUAUUGAUUGCAUUUAUACAACCACUUAUGCACAUCUUCGCCUUCAAAUGUUGGAAAAUUCCUCUUGGGCUUGUGAAACCUGUAAGACCCUUGUGAACCUUCUCCAACCCACCCUUGACUGCAGGUUGUUGUAGGCGGUUGAGGAGCAUGGGGCCUUUGGGAGGAGCUAGUCUCUCCAGUGAGAGUUUGUAGGGUGUGUUUUAUCGCAAUCUGCUGAGUAGCUAUUUCUUUCAUCAUAGCCUUGAGUUGGCCAAGAUCAUCCGACUGUGUGUUCAGUUUGAUUUCUAUUCCAUCAAUUCUUUGGUUAGCAGCUUCCAAGGAACCGUCACACCUUCUCACAUCUUGGGACCUGGUCUCUGGAGGCAUUUUGAGGAGAUCCAAAGAUGAAGCUCUGAUACCACUUUGCUGCAAGUUAGUUUUCUAGAGGAUGAUCAAACUACCAUGGGAGGGGAGAAGAAGUUUUGAAGGAGUGAGGAAGAACAUGUCAUACGUUCAGCAUGGGUUUUUUCCUACACACUGAUUGAGAGGGAGAGAUUUUAAGAAAAGAUACUGAAUUCUGUUAUAUCAAAAGUUGCCCUGUUUCUGUUACAUCUUUGGGUAUUUAUCCUAAACCAAAUUGUUCCCUUAAUUCUAUAUUUCCCCUAGCCAUUACACGUGGCUUGAUUAUUUCAUUUAAACUAUCUGGGCUGCAUGAAACGCAACCGUUUAACUAAUGUUUUAAAUUCUUUACCGCUUCCUUCCCACGCUGUCGUUUUAUGCUUGAUUUGAAUUAAAUCCUUCUUCUUCUGCGCUAGCCCUCAUCUUCUUUGGUUCUAGUCGUGACAAUAACCUAUGCCAGCAACUUGUAAAAACUCCUCCUUAGAAGUAAAAAAAAGGGCUAAACAGUUACUUUGUAUAUUUCGACAGUAAGGAAUGUUGAUAAUAGGUAUAUAAAGAACUGAAUGUUGAUGAUAACCAGAAAAACAAAGAACAAAGAACUUGCAACAAAGAACAAAGAGCAGAAUGUUUUUCCUAUUGGUUACUGCCAUCCCUUAGCUUUUAUUUAUAGAUGAAAUCAAUCACAACACAAUUAAGAAACAUAACUAACAUAAACUCCUUCAUUUAUGGAGCUUAUCCUAAAUAAGUUUCAUAUCUAAAGAAGUAAAAACUCAUUAAACAACAUUAAGAUAAUGAUGUUACUAAUAGAUAAACAUUAAUGAAAGAUAACAUAUGACUGAGACAUUAAUUUCAGCUUUGGUGCCAUAACUUCAACACUCCUCCUUGGUUCCAAAGCUGCACAUUCCUAUCAUCUCCCUUAGAUCUUGAAAUCUAUCUUUAGCUAAAGGCUUGGUUAAAUUUCUAACUUUCUAGGAAAUCAAACAAAGGGUCUAAAAUAAGUAAUAACAUUAAAAAAAAAAAAACAGGGGAAAUGGGAGCGAUAUGAAGCUUACUUUUGCAAGACUGGUAUUCAGUGACAUGCAGGGUUGACCGGGAGGCAUGAAUCCACUACAAUAGACUGCAGAGGCAGAGCCGAACUGGAUGCUGGAUGUUAUUAUGUUCGAAGACAAUUUUGACAAAAAGACCAUCAUUAUCUUACAUACCAGACCAGAGCAUCAGAUUUUCAAUGUUGAAACAGUAAUCAGAUUUCAAGCUAUGAUAAACGAAGAUUCGUGAAACAUUAUGAGGCAUCAUUCAUAAAGAGUCAAAUAGGGACAUCUAUACACGCAUGGUAGAAA
rnacentral:lncRNA from 1 species